UUAAAUUGAAGAGUUUGAUCAUGGCUCAGAUUGAACGCUGGCGGCAGGCCUAACACAUGCAAGUCGAACGGUAACAGGAAGCAGCUUGCUGCUUUGCUGACGAGUGGCGGACGGGUGAGUAAUGUCUGGGAAACUGCCUGAUGGAGGGGGAUAACUACUGGAAACGGUGGCUAAUACCGCAUAACGUCGCAAGACCAAAGAGGGGGACCUUCGGGCCUCUUGCCAUCAGAUGUGCCCAGAUGGGAUUAGCUUGUUGGUGAGGUAACGGCUCACCAAGGCGACGAUCCCUAGCUGGUCUGAGAGGAUGACCAGCCACACUGGAACUGAGACACGGUCCAGACUCCUACGGGAGGCAGCAGUGGGGAAUAUUGCACAAUGGGCGCAAGCCUGAUGCAGCCAUGCCGCGUGUAUGAAGAAGGCCUUCGGGUUGUAAAGUACUUUCAGCGGGGAGGAAGGUGUUGUGGUUAAUAACCACAGCAAUUGACGUUACCCGCAGAAGAAGCACCGGCUAACUCCGUGCCAGCAGCCGCGGUAAUACGGAGGGUGCAAGCGUUAAUCGGAAUUACUGGGCGUAAAGCGCACGCAGGCGGUCUGUCAAGUCGGAUGUGAAAUCCCCGGGCUCAACCUGGGAACUGCAUUCGAAACUGGCAGGCUUGAGUCUUGUAGAGGGGGGUAGAAUUCCAGGUGUAGCGGUGAAAUGCGUAGAGAUCUGGAGGAAUACCGGUGGCGAAGGCGGCCCCCUGGACAAAGACUGACGCUCAGGUGCGAAAGCGUGGGGAGCAAACAGGAUUAGAUACCCUGGUAGUCCACGCCGUAAACGAUGUCUACUUGGAGGUUGUGCCCUUGAGGCGUGGCUUCCGGAGCUAACGCGUUAAGUAGACCGCCUGGGGAGUACGGCCGCAAGGUUAAAACUCAAAUGAAUUGACGGGGGCCCGCACAAGCGGUGGAGCAUGUGGUUUAAUUCGAUGCAACGCGAAGAACCUUACCUGGUCUUGACAUCCACAGAACUUUCCAGAGAUGGACUGGUGCCUUCGGGAACUGUGAGACAGGUGCUGCAUGGCUGUCGUCAGCUCGUGUUGUGAAAUGUUGGGUUAAGUCCCGCAACGAGCGCAACCCUUAUCCUUUGUUGCCAGCGAUUAGGUCGGGAACUCAAAGGAGACUGCCAGUGAUAAACUGGAGGAAGGUGGGGAUGACGUCAAGUCAUCAUGGCCCUUACGACCAGGGCUACACACGUGCUACAAUGGCGCAUACAAAGAGAAGCGACCUCGCGAGAGCAAGCGGACCUCAUAAAGUGCGUCGUAGUCCGGAUUGGAGUCUGCAACUCGACUCCAUGAAGUCGGAAUCGCUAGUAAUCGUGGAUCAGAAUGCCACGGUGAAUACGUUCCCGGGCCUUGUACACACCGCCCGUCACACCAUGGGAGUGGGUUGCAAAAGAAGUAGGUAGCUUAACCUUCGGGAGGGCGCUUACCACUUUGUGAUUCAUGACUGGGGUGAAGUCGUAACAAGGUAACCGUAGGGGAACCUGCGGUUGGAUCACCUCCUUACCUUAAAGAA
rnacentral:rRNA from 2 species